rnacentral:rRNA from 1 species
UUGGAUUCAACGCCGGAAAUCUCACCGGGGCGACAGCAAUAUGAAGGUCAGGCUGAAGACUUACCCGAUUAGCUGAGAGGUGGUGCAUGGCCGUCGUCAGUUCGUACUGUGAAGCAUCCUGUUAAGUCAGGCAACGAGCGAGACCCACGUCCACAGUUGCCAGCAUACCCUCCGGGGUGAUGGGUACACUGUGGAGACCGCCGCUGCUAAAGCGGAGGAAGGAGUGGGCAACGGUAGGUCAGUAUGCCCCGAAUCUCCCGGGCUACACGCGGGCUACAAUGGUUGGUACAAUGGGCAUCUACCCCGAAAGGGGAAGGAAAUCUCUUAAAGCCAAUCGUAGUUCGGAUUGAGGGCUGCAACUCGCCCUCAUGAAGCUGGAAUCCGUAGUAAUCGCGUUUCAACAGAACGCGGUGAAUACGUCCCUGCUCCUU